CGUAGCUCAGCUGGUAGAGCAAUUGACUCUUAAUCAAUGGGCCGUGGGUUCGAGUCCCACCGA
rnacentral:tRNA from 7 species